rnacentral:rRNA from 1 species
AUUGAACGCUGGCGGCAGGCCUAACACAUGCAAGUCGAACGAGUGGCGGACGGGUGAGUAAUGUCUGGGAAACUGCCUGAUGGAGGGGGAUAACUACUGGAAACUGUAGCUAAUACCGCAUACCAUCGGAUGUGCCCAUAUGGGAUUAGCUAGUAUGUGGGGUAAAGGCUCACCUAGGCGAAGAUCCCUAGCUUGUCUGAGAGGAUGACCAGCCACACUGGAAAUGCGACACGGUCCAGACUCCUAAGGGAGGCAGCAGUGGGGAAUAUUGCAAAAUGGGCGCAAGCCUGAUGCAGCCAUGCCGCGUGUAUGAAGAAGGCCUUCGGGUUGUAAAGUACUUUCAGCGGGGAGGCGUUAACCGAAGAAGAAGCACCGGCUAAAUCCGUGCAAGCAGCCGCGGUAAUUC